GGAAAUAAAAGUCGUAACAAAGUUUCCGUAGGUGAACCUGCGGAAGGAUCAUUAUUGUAUAACCGAGGUGCGAGGGCUGUCGCUGACCCGAAAGGUCGUGCACGCCCGAGUGCCCUCACACACAUCCAUCUCACCCCUAUGUGCACCACCGCGUGGGUCCCCCUUUGGCUUGUUCGGAGGGGGGCUUACGUUUUCACACAAACUUUGUAUGCAGUGUAGAAUGUAUUUUUUGUUUUUGCGAUCACGCAAUCAAUACAACUUUCAACAACGGAUCUCUUGGCUCUC
rnacentral:misc_RNA from 1 species